rnacentral:rRNA from 1 species
GAUGAACGCUGGCGGCGUGCCUAAUACAUGCAAGUCGAGCGAACGGACGGGAAGCUUGCUUUUCUGAUGUUAGCGGCGGACGGGUGAGUAACACGUGGAUAACCUACCUAUAAGACUGGGAUAACUUCGGGAAACCGGAGCUAAUACCGGAUAAUAUUUUGAACCGCAUGGUUCAAAAGUGAAAGACGGUCUUGCUGUCACUUAUAGAUGGAUCCGCGCUGCAUUAGCUAGUUGGUAAGGUAACGGCUUACCAAGGCAACGAUGCAUAGCCGACCUGAGAGGGUGAUCGGCCACUCUGGAACUGAGACACGGUCCAGACUCCUACGGGAGGCAGCAGUAGGGAAUCUUCCGCAAUGGGCGAAAGCCUGACGGAGCAACGCCGCGUGAGUGAUGAAGGUCUUCGGAUCGUAAAACUCUGUUAUUAGGGAAGAACAUAUGUGUAAGUAACUGUGCACAUCUUGACGGUACCUAAUCAGAAAGCCACGGCUAACUACGU